CGGGAGCGCCAGGGCUCUGGCGGCGGCCUCCCUGGGGGAUUUGCCGAGCCGGGCGGGCGGCGCGCAUUGCCUGGGCCGGCCGGCCGCCUCCUCCGCCUCCCUCCCGCCUGCCCGGGUCGCCGGCCCCCGUGCCCCCACCCCUCCUCUGCCCUUCCUGCCGCCUGGGAGCUCGGCUUGCGGCUCCGGGCAGCCCGGGAGCCCAGUGUCUUGUUUGAUGUGGCCUCCCGCCCCCUCAGCCCUUCCCGCGUCCCGGAGGCCUGACGCACCGUUCUCAGACACUUCAUUCCUGCCUCCCAGCUCCCCACUGAGAUAAUGUUGUCAAUGAUUUCGCCAGAUCUCGUCCCGGCUGAGAUUCAGUGGUUCCUGACUCUGGGUGACCUUGGGCAAGCCCCCCUCAUUCUUUCAUUGUGGAACACACGCGCAGUGUCAGACACUGUGUUAAACCCUGGGAUUUCCACGAUGAGAGAUACAGUGGCGGCCUGCAAGAAGUUGACAGUAAACUGCAGGGACAGACAGACGCUGAUUUUCUGAUUGAUGACUGGACAUUCCUUUAUUUUUCCUUUCUUUUUUGAGUUAGGUGGUGGCCUGAGAGAUCAGGAGGACAGAAACAAAAUAUGAAACCACACUUGUAUGGAUAACAGUAUUGCUGGUCUGCCUGGGUUUACAGCAGUAUCAGAGUGGUUUGUGGGUUUGGUUUAAAGCUACAGAAAGGAGAGAGCAAGAGAAGAAGAAAAAAGGUAUUUUGCCCGAGGACGUGAAGCUUUUUUUCUCCCUUUUCCUCCGCAUGACUGACUUUCUCACACUCAGAUUCCCUCCAGCCUGCCAGAGACGUGGUAGCUGCCUUGCCAAGAGCUAUCCUGGGAGGGCUGUUGAAAGAGCUUUGAGGCUGCAGCCAGCUUCCAGCAGUCCGAGUGCCCAGAAACAGCACAUUCCAGGCCGGUUGUGCAUGCAUGUUUGCUGGGGCGCGUGCCAGGUGGGGGUGCUGGGAAGGGGGGGCAACUAGAGGUCACCUUUGUAAUGAUCACCUUGCUGCCCCCGUUCUGUGGCAUGUGCUGACUGGUAGCUUGAGAACCCUCUACUAGAAUCAGUAUCAUAGUCUUUCUAGAUAGCAGUCUGUAUAUGCUGAUCGCAGAAUUCAUAACCAGGAUUUUUUUUUUUUACCUGUAAAGCCCCUGAAAUGGAAUUUCAACAUGUGUCUGUAUGUGCAUAUUUAACAGGAGCUUAAUAAAUAUUUUCC